GGAAGAGAAACCUUGAAGAAGAGGGAAUGAGAGGCUCGUGAAGAAGAUGGGGAGAGAGACUCAGUGCUGUGAGAAGGAAAGUGUGAUGAGAUCUGUGACUGCACCUGUGGAGAGGUGAACAGGACCCCACGGCAGCAAAAGCGAUAUCCUGUGUGACAGCCGCUGUCCGCUCGCUCUCCUUGCUUCACUUUGUUACUGAGGUGACGCUAUGGUUUGGAUCUUGACUUCCAGCUGCAACUGCCAUGAAAUUCACGCUCUUCUUCCCACUGACUGUGCU